UCAUUUUUGCUUACCUAUUACUCCGAACUUCUCCUUUUCUUACAAUUCAAAUCUAAAGAUCAACAACAUACACAUUCUUGAGACUUAGGUCAAUGGAUAAACCAGAAAGCUUAUCGAUCUUCAGUCUCAGCAUAAUAUUAUAAGAAAAAAAAUGCCGUUGUGAAUCUUUGCAAAACAUGAAAGCAAAUCAAUUUGUCACUUUGGCGCAUGAAGGGAGGUGGAAAGCCUAAAGAAUCGUUCAAAUUUUAGUCAAUUUGGAGCUGCAAUAAUACAUACCCCCUCGACUCCAAAUUCCAAUCAGUGCAAGAAACCUAUGCCUUUCAAAUCAUUUUUUUUUUUUUUGAAAAAAAAAAAGCACAAAAGGAAGCCAAAAGCGCAAGCAAAAGACAAUUUUAUCAACCUUAAAACAUCCACCAGGAAAAUUCGUGGCAUAAUACUAGUCUCAACACAAUCACAAACAUUAAACCCAUCUCCAAGAUAAUGUGGAACCAUUAUCAUUUUAUCCCCUCAACAUCAGGCAUCCCAUCCAGCCGUUCAUCAAAGAUGAUCCAGUUCCAACCGGCCACCUCCAAUAUUAUGGAUCCCCUGAUGCUUCCAUGUCCUCAGCUUCAUCCAUUGCACUAGAUGGUCGACACCUCCUGGAUUCAGGCCACACACAACAGAGCCAUCAGAACGCACCCUUUACAAACUUCCUCCACAUCCCUUCAAUCCCCAUAUCUUUCUCCUUCUCGCCUUAGUUAUAUAGCUUUUUCCCACCGUAGUAUUUUCUCUGCCACCAUGUUAGAAGGCAAAUCCCAUAGUCGAUGAGACUAAGAUGCUUCAAACAAUACAGCAAGAUGCAAUUCAUUUAGCCGCUAAGGCUCUUGAUCUCUUCGAUGUUACAGAGUCUUCUGAAAUAGCUCAAUUCAUAAAGAAGGAUUUUGAUAAGACAUAUGGACCUCUAUGUCAAAGCAUAGAUUUUGAUUAAUUUGUGACACUGCCAUGGCUGCUUCAUCUACUUUGGCGUUGGCAGUCUUGCAAUAAUGUUCUUCAGGGGUAUGGUAAAUCAAGCAGAAGAAGCAAACUUGUUUCCAAUCAUGGAGACCAUGAACAUGUGUGUUCUUUCUUGUAUCUUUUAGGCUUUCCCAUUCUUCCUGGGUUGUAAUGAGAAAAGAAACUGUAGUUGAAGAACAAAUUUCAUGUCU